GAUCCUGGCUCAGGAUGAACGCUAGCGGCAGGCUUAACACAUGCAAGUCGAGGGGCAGCACGAGGUAGCAAUACUUUGGUGGCGACCGGCGCACGGGUGCGUAACGCGUAUGCAACCUACCUUUAACAGGGGCAUAACACUGAGAAAUUGGUACUAAUUCCCCAUAACAUUCGAGAAGGCAUCUUCUUGGGUUAAAAACUCCGGUGGUUAAAGAUGGGCAUGCGUUGUAUUAGCUAGUUGGUGAGGUAAUGG
rnacentral:rRNA from 1 species